rnacentral:rRNA from 1 species
UGGGGAAUAUUGGACAAUGGGGGCAACCCUGAUCCAGCAAUGCCGCGUGUGUGAAGAAGGCCUUCGGGUUGUAAAGCACUUUAGUUGGGGAAGAAGGAUGUUAGUUUAAGAGAUGAACAUUUUGACUGUACCCAAAGAAUAAGCACCGGCUAACUCUGUGCCAGCAGCCGCGGUAAUACAGAGGGUGCAAGCGUUAAUCGGAAUGACUGGGCGUAAAGGGCGUGUAGGUGGUUUGGUAAGUUGGUUGUGAAAUCCCUGGGCUUAACCUAGGAAUGGCAACUGAGACUGCGAGACUAGAGUACGGUAGAGGGUAGUGGAAUUUCCGGUGUAGCGGUGAAAUGCGUAGAGAUCGGAAGGAACACCAGUGGCGAAGGCGGCUACCUGGACUGAUACUGACACUGAGGCGCGAGAGCGUGGGGAGCAAACAGG